rnacentral:tRNA from 1 species
GGGGCUGUAGCUCAGUAGUAGAGCACUUAUCUCACACACAUGAGGCACUGGGUUCAAUCCCAGCACCA